rnacentral:lncRNA from 1 species
CUAACCUGGAAACGGCUAAAGCUGGCGAAGGGCAGCGGCUAGAAGGAUCAGACCCGAGCUGUGCGGAUCUGAAGCUGUGCCCUCACUCGAAGGCGCACACACUGGUGCCCCUGCGCUCCACCAGCACUGACAGCAGCCGGCUGCCCCAGCUCCUCCGGCUGCUGCGGCGGCCACAGGCGUCGCCCUGACACCACCGAGAAGGGGGGGACCGGGGGGAAAGCCGGCGCGACCCCCAGCCCGGCCCCGCCGCUCGGCGCCCCCUCCCCUUCCUCUCUUUCCCUCCCCUUCCCAGCAGGGCGAGACGAGGCAUGGGGGCCGGUGGCCGUGGUGGCCCGGCGGCAGGUGUAGGCACACGGCGGCAGCGGCACCCCGCGACCCUUCAGACCCUUCAGGUAAGGGCGGCCGGGUGGGGGGCUCCCACCACCGCCGUGGGGGCCGAGGAGGCGCCCCCGGGCCGCCGGGCGGAGGGCAGGGAGGCCGGGGGCGGCGGGGCGGGCCGGGGCGGGGCCGUGCCGCUGGCUCCCCGGGCGGCGCUGGGGCCCUGCCAGAACCAUUUUGGUUCGCGGGGUGGCGGCAGCGCAGCCCCCGACGGCCCCAGCGCGGGGCUCCCGCUGUCAAACCCGGCGCGGCAGUCCCCGAAAGGCUUAGUGAAGGGGUGUUCUGCCCGGCUAGGCGGCUGUCGAAAGUGUCUUAUUUAUUUUUAUUUUUUUAAUCUUUUCGGCCGGCUGUCGGAGCGAGGGAAGCGCCUGCGCCGGCUGGGGCUGCGGCGAGCGUCGAGGAUCGCUGGAAGAGUGAAUUUCUCCUGCCCGAGUAACGGGGAACGGGGCAAACCUGCCGCGGCUCCCAGGUGGAGGUGGAUCUUGGAUGAAGAGACUGACCAAAUUAAAAAUAUAUAUGUAUAUAUAUUAAAUAAAGGGAUCUCAGAAUAUGCUUCUGUUUCUGUAUAGAGGAUAUUUUUCUACAUCUCCUGUCCUCCACCUUGGAUUUUGUUGAUGCAUAGGAAAAAGUCCUCACUUGCACUGCCAAACUUCUGCAACACCACUUCUGGGAGAAGGAAGUGCAGCUCCUUUUGCCAAGGACCAGAAGCGCCACUGGCUUUGAAGAGCACAGCUGCCGAAGGCACUGCCUCGAGCUCCCAGCACUGUCCUCCUUGCCACCGGCCACAAAGGAGCAACGCCGCUUGGAACCAAGGAAUCCUUUGAGAGAUAAGCAUUCUUAUGCUGCAGCAAGCCGUGGACAUGCUCCCCAGACGGGGCAUUUGGCAGCCUUGCCUUUGCCUUACAAGAGACAUUCCUCAAGCUCCUCUUGAAACUCACAUGACAUAAACCACCCUGACCGCCGGGAAACCACUGUGGACGACUUGGCUCAGCCAGAAGCAUGAGCGGCUUACUGAGACACCUCUUGCCGCAGACUAUCAGCGGCCCCUGUCACCGCUCCCAGCCUUCCAAGAACCUCCCACCAGUCCUACCCUCCAGCAGGCAGAACGCCCCCGCCUCCUGCCAAGUACGCCUUCUCUUGUGACUGGCAGCCCAAACCGGCCUCUGUGUCUAGCUUCUGCAGUGGCCAUGGGAACAAGAAAUCCCUCCCCGUGCAACACACUGGGGGCCGACAUUUUAUGGCGAGGGGGGAGCGCUCUUCUCACCGUGCCUCUCUGAUUGGCUGCGUGCUGUUCGAGCCACGUGCCCUGCGCUCGCCCGCUGAUUGGUGGCCCGCUGCCUUUCGGCCGGGAAGCGCUAAAUAUGAAAAUAUCGAUCUACGACACGUGCUGUGUGUGCGUGUACGGACACGUGUAUGUAUAUCCACACAGAAAUGUAAACACAAGGAAAUGCACGCAGCGGUUUUCUACACAGGCACACUAUUUAUAGAUAGGUACAUGUAUACAUUCAUUUGCUUACCUG